rnacentral:tRNA from 1 species
CAGAAAAUAUGUUAGUUUAGAAUUCU